CACAAGACAACUCUUUUAUUUUUUACAUGAAAUUUUCCGAACUGAAAAUGUACUCCAUCCUGACAAUUGCCUUGGUUGUAAUAACAUUCACACAGGCCAUCGACUGGCAUAAUAGACAACUGAGCAAAGGAUUGCGACUUCAAGGGAAACGAUCUAAAAAUAGUACAUUCCAGUGGCGACGAAUGUAGGAGUAGGUGUACUGCGACACCAGGCUGCACUCAUUAUAGUUGGGUCGACACUUUCAUUUCUCCCGCAUUUCCUUACAUCCUUAAGAAAGGCCUUGGCGUCUGCUACAUGAAAACGAAUGUAGUGUUCAGAACCUACGCUGUAUCGAAAAAAUGGGAUUGCUGCAAGCCAUCUUGCGCGUCGAAUGAGGCGUCUGUAAGAAAUCCAGUCGUUUCAUGUUCGCCCGAUGAUAUACAAAUUCACAAUAAUUCCAAUGUUGAAGAUGGAUGUAGUGGUGGCGAUGCUUUUACAUGCGGAUUCUACCAACCGUGGGAAGAGAAUGAUUACGUCUCCAAUGGAUUCGCCACAGUCCGCUUACCUAGAAAAUAUGAUGCUGACUUGUGUUGCAUGUGCUUCAAAUUGAAGUUUACUUCCGGUCCGGUAGUUGGAAAGGAAAUGAUAAAACAAGUGAUAAAUACUGGUGAUACUGUGACAGAAUGAAAUUAUUUUGAUCUUUUGAUACCAGGAACAGGAGACAGCAGUGCGAAUGGAUGCUCAACACAAUGGGGACACCAUUAAAACAGAUCAUGUUGAUUUUGGACGGGUACAAAGUGAAGAGGAGUGUUCACGACUUCCGCCGUACCUCAUUAAAGGAUGCAUUUGGCGUUUUAAAUGGUUCCAAAAUGCUGACAGUCCAACUUUCGAUUUCGUCGAAGUUCGGUGUAAUCAGAGGCUCUACGCUAGAAGUGGCUGUGAAAGACAGGACACUAUAUAAUACAAAAAUGACCUUCAAUCAAAAAUGAGGAAAUUUUGUUGUAAAAUAUUCCUCAGAUUUGUGUGAAUUAUGUUAAGAAAGAACUAUA